UACGUAGGGUGCGAGCGUUGUCCGGAAUUACUUGGGCGUAAAGAGCUCGUAGGUGGUUUGUCGCGUUGUUCGUGAAAACUCACAGCUUAACUGUGGGCGUGCGGGCGAUACGGGCAGACUUGAGUACUGCAGGGGAGACUGGAAUUCCUGGUGUAGCGGUGGAAUGCGCAGAUAUCAGGAGGAACACCGGUGGCGAAGGCGGGUCUCUGGGCAGUA
rnacentral:rRNA from 1 species